UACGUAGGGUGCGAGCGUUGUCCGGAAUUAUUGGGCGUAAAGAGCUCGUAGGCGGUGUGUCACGUCGUUCGUGAAAACCUGCAGCUUAACUGUGGGCGUGCGGUCGAUACGGGCAUCACUGGAGUUCGGCAGGGGAGACUGGAAUUCCUGGUGUAGCGGUGAAAUGCGUAGAUAUCAAGUGGAACACCAGUGGCGAAGGCGAGUCCCUGGACAACUCCUGACACUGAGGCACGAAAGCUAGGGGAGCAAACAGG
rnacentral:rRNA from 1 species